GGACUGUUAGCUCAGUUGGUAGAGCGGAUGACUCUUAAUCAUUAGGUCGUGGGUUCGAACCCCACACAGUCCACCA
rnacentral:tRNA from 1 species